rnacentral:lncRNA from 10 species
CUCUCGCCCCAGCCGGUGACAGGCUGUUGCCCUGUGAUCUGCAGGUCCUGGGACGUGCACAGACAGCUAAGAUGCCAGGACAUUCCAGAAGGUGGGAAAGGCACCUGAGUAAUUUGACUCUCCUGCCUGGACCCAGCGUACAGAUGGGAUUGUGCUUCAUUGCUGGACCCAGCAUUUAGGCCCACUACCUAUGAGAUUGCAUGCUCCUGCCUGGGCUGUGCCCACAGUGACCUUGUGACAUAUAUCUGCAUCCAUGACCUAAAAGAUGUGACACUUCUUGCCUGCAACCUGCCCUGCACAGGAAAGAUUGCGACUUCUCCCUGGAAGCAGACACCAGGUCAUACAGAAUUGCCACCCUCCAACAUAUCAUAUAAUGCCCUCGAGUGUUACAAAGAGUGUUAUCCCAAGGCACACAGCACAAAGGGAUCGUCACUCCCGUGGAUGAUCAAAGGCGCCUGUAAUUUCAGCUACUCCGGGGGCUGAGGCAGGAGAAUCGCUUGAACUCGGGAAGCAGAAGUUGCAGUGAGCCAAGGUCGCACCACUGCACUCCAGCCCAGGCGACAUUGUGAGACUCCAUCUCAAAAAAAAAAAAAAGAAAAAAAGUGUACUAACAAGACCCAGCACACAGAGGAGACUUUUACCAUUGUAUGAACACCCAUCAAACAGUACACAUCAUCAUUGUGAGUUCUGAAUCUCACACAUAGAGGAAGUCAAAGGUGGAAAACUUGACUCUCAUAUUUGGAUCCAGUCCACAGGUUCUGCUAGCAAGGAAGACUGAGACAUAUUGUGGGGCUCUACGCCAAUGUGACAUUACUGUUCUGCCUUGGCCUGUACCUGAAAAGGCAUUGUGACAUAUUGCUGGGCCCAGCAACAAGGUGGCAUGAGUCUUCCGUAUGGACCCUGACAACAGAGCAUUGUGACAUAUCUUUAAGAGCAUCAACUAUUUGAUGUGACUCUCCUUUUCUACCAAGGCUUUCCUCAUAUGAGAGAUUGUGACACAUCUUCUGGCACAGAAAUCAAGUGAUGUGUUUCUCCUGCCUGAGCUUUGCUCAUAGAAAGCAUUGUGACAUAUCUCUGGUCUCAGCACCCAGGUGUGAUUUUGACGCACACUUCUGCCCAGCACCUGAGUAAUGUGAUUCUUCAGAAUUGGCCCGGCCCACAAAUAGGAUUGUGCCACACUGCUGGACCCAGUGCCUAAGUGAUGUAACUCUAUUCUUCUGCCUUGGUGCUACUCGAAAAAGACAUUGUAACAUAUCUCAGAGCCUUACACCCAGGUAAUGUGAGUCUCCUCUUCUGCCUUGCUGCUGCACACAGAAGCGGAAUAUGUACAGGAUUGUUAAUCUCAUCUUGGAUCUUCCUGCACUUGUGAUUGUGACACAUGCCUCUGUGUAGAACCUGAGUGAGUUUACUCUCCUGCCUGGAUUUAACCCAUAGAUGGAAUCGUGACAUAUCACUGUACCAGAAACUAGGUGAUGUGACUCUAUUUUCUUGCCUCUGUGUUUUUAUAUGGGGCAUCGUGACAUAUCACUGGGCCUUGCACCCAAGUGAUGGGAGUUUUCUCUCCUGCUUUGGUGCCGUCCACAAUGAAAAUUGUGAAAUAUUGCUGCCCUCCCCACUAGGUUAUGUUACUCUCCUGCCUCUGCUUUGCCCACAUGGGUCACUGUGACAUAUUGCUGGGUCUAAAACCCAGGUAAUGUCACUCUCUUGUUUGGGUUCUGCCUGCAGGAGUCAUUGUCACAUAUCUCUAUGCUCAUCACCCAGGUAAUAUGAUUCCCUUUUACUGCUUAGUUCCUUCUCACAAAACAACUUGUGACAUAUUGCUAGGCCCAAUACACCUAGCUGGUGUAACUCUUCUUUUCUUUUCUUUCCUUUUUUUUUUUUUUUUUUUGAGAUGGAGUCUCACUCUGUUGCCCAGGCUGGAGUGCAGCGGCAUGAUUUCAGCUCACUACAGCCUCUGCCUCCUAGGUUGAAGCGAUUGUCCUGACUUGGCCUCCCAAGUAGCUGGGAUUAAAGGCAUGUGCCACCACGCCCGGCUAAUUUUUGUAUUUAUAGUAGAGACAGGGUUUCGCCAUGUUGGCUAGGCUGGUUUCGAACUUCUAACCUCAGGUGAUCCUCCUGCCUCGGCCUCCCAAAGUACUGGAAUUACAGGCAUGAGCCACUGCACCUGGCCUGAUUCUUCUCUUCUUUCUAGGUUUCAACUGCAGCAGAGAUUGUAACAAACCACUGGGCCCAGCCGCAUAAUGAUGUUACUCUUUUGCCUUGGGCCUGCCCUCAGAAGGCACUGUCACAUAUUCAUGGGCCCAACGCCAAGGUGAUAUGUGUCUCCAGCCUGGACCCUGCCCACAGGGGGCAUUGUGACAUAUCUCUUGGCCCAUCAGAUGUUUGAUUGUUAUCCCCUCCCCUCUUCUACCCUGUGUUUGCCUAUAAAAGACACAGUCAUAUGUUCCUGGGCCCAGCACCUAGGUGUUGUCUUACUGGAAUGUGUCCACAUGGGGAUUGUGAUAUGUCACGUGGCCCAGUACUUAACUUGAUGUGACUCUCCUCUCAUGCCUAGGCCUUGUAGAGAAUCCCCUUCCCCUUUUGUUUUCCUUUUUUUCUUUGCAGAUCCAGGAGAUAAUCAACUAAGAGCCAGGCACCCGUUUAGGUCUAAUAAACAUUUUACAAACUGCUCUCUCUUUUAAUUCACCUAUCUGAGAGAUUCCUCUGUACAAUAAAACUUGGUCUCCACAAUCCUUUACCUUAACCUAAACCUUCCCUUUCAUUGAUCCCAGGUCUUCAGAUUCCACCACUUGUCAACCACAAAAUAUUUAAAUUUACCUGGAAGCCGCCCGCUUUGAGUUGUCCCGCCUUUCUGAACCAAACCAAUAUAUUCCUGCAAAACCGGCCAUGAUUAAAACAUCAAAAAAUAAUACAUGUUGGCGUGGCUGUGGUGAAAAAAGAAUACUUUUUCACUGCUGGUGGGUAUGUAAACUAGUACAACCACUAUGAAAAACAGUAUGGAGAUUCAUUAAAUAAAAGUAAAGCUACCAUUUGAUUAAGCAAUUCUACUACUGUGUAUCUACAUGAAGAAAAAGAAAUUAUAUGUGUAAGACACUUGCACACACAUGUUUAUAGCAGCACAAUUUGCAAUUGCAAAAAUAUGGAAGCAGCCUAAUGCCCAUCAGCUAAUGAGUGGAAAAAGAAAAUGUGGCAUAUAUAUACCAAUGCAUACUACUCAGCCCUAACGAGGAAUAAAAUAAUAGCAUUUGCAGCAAUCUCGAUUUAGUUGGAGACCAUUAUUCUAAGUAACUCAGCAAUAAAAAA